GUAGGUGAACCAGCGGAGGGAUCAUUACAGAGUUGCAAAACUCCCAACCCUUUGUGAACGAACCUACCAGUUGCCUCGGCGGCGAGCCUUUCAGGCGGACCGCCGGAGGAAUACAAACUCUUUGCAUUUUAACAUCUCUGAUUACUUAUUCAAUAAGUUAAAACUUUCAACAACGGAUCUCUUGGUUCUG
rnacentral:misc_RNA from 1 species